rnacentral:rRNA from 1 species
CCUACGGGAGGCAGCAGUGGGGAAUCUUGCGCAAUGGGCGAAAGCCUGACGCAGCCAUGCCGCGUGAAUGAUGAAGGUCUUAGGAUUGUAAAAUUCUUUCACCGGGGACGAUAAUGACGGUACCCGGAGAAGAAGCCCCGGCUAACUUCGUGCCAGCAGCCGCGGUAAUACGAAGGGGGCUAGCGUUGCUCGGAAUUACUGGGCGUAAAGGGAGCGUAGGCGGAUAGUUUAGUCAGAGGUGAAAGCCCAGGGCUCAACCUUGGAAUUGCCUUUGAUACUGGCUAUCUUGAGUGUGGGAGAGGUAUGUGGAACUCCGAGUGUAGAGGUGAAAUUCGUAGAUAUUCGGAAGAACACCAGUGGCGAAGGCGACAUACUGGCCCAUUACUGACGCUGAGGCUCGAAAGCGUGGGGAGCAAACAGGAUUAGAUACCCUGGUAGUCCACGCUGUAAACGAUGAGUGCUAGUUGUCGGCAGCAUGCUGUCGGUGACGCNGCUACGCAUAAGCACUCCGCCGUGGGAGGUACGGUCGCGAGAAGUUAAACGUUAAAUAGUUAAGUUAGUACGGCGUUGAGACGUUGCCGACGGACGACGACGAGGGGAGGUUAGG